ensembl:lncRNA
GGUAAUCCGUGCGCCUUCAGGUACCACUCGUGUCCUGGUUCAAAACCCUGACCUGAAGAAGGUCACAAUAAUAAUUACCCUCCAAGACACUCACUCGUAUUCACAAUGCUCACAUGGCUAUCACAAACAAACAAUCUCAAUGCAAAAACAUACCAUCUAUAGUUGCCCACAAACAUGCUAAUCGCUAAGCUAGCGAAUGCUAGCCAAGAAGCGCUCGAUCUGCUGACAAAGUGCUAAAACCACGCUAACCGCCAAGCUAGCAGGACAUCAACAACCGCGCCAGCCGCUUCGUAACUGACACAUACACGUACACACAGACUGACCGCUGAACGAGGAGUCCUGCGUGUUGCCCCAGCUGUCACUAGUGUCGUUACCUCCGACCCUCCUGCUGCGAAGCUAGUGUCGAAACAUGAACCAGACAGUGCACGGCGAAGCAAACGUAAAGAUGCUCGGCUCGUUCGCUGCUGAUCACGUGAUCAGUGACGUCCGAAGCUUCGGUCCGGCUCAGUGACGCAAUCAGUGACGUCCGAAGCUUCGUUCCUGCGCACAGUCACGUGACCGCUUCGAUUUGAUUCAAAUGGGCUGGAAACAGGGUUCGGGCUUGUUGGUUUGAUACAGUCAAAGUCAGUGUUGUUGUUGUUGUUGUUGUUGUAGCAAAGAGCACAUUUACAAUGGAACCUGUGGCAAAGAGAGGUCGCUCCGAGAUGUGGGAGCACUUCAAUUUGAUUUCCUCUAACAAGGUUGGCAAUAGGCAGGCAACGUCUGUCAUUUGUAUUGUGUAAUUAUGGAUGUUUAUUUUUAUUGUGGAGACCACCAGAUAUUUGGCUGAAUCAAACAUUCCACGGAGUGAAGAGCCGCUAAAAUAUUGGGUCCAACACAAACAUGUGUACCCACAUCUGUUUGUAUUAGCACAUAAUCUUAUGAGCAUUCCUGCCUGAUCGUGCCGCAUGAGCGCCUUUUUUCUAAAGCUGGGGAAACAGUAUCUAAGAAACCGACUCAACCCCAAUUCUGUGGAGAAAAUUGUGUUUCUCAAUAAAAAUCAAUAAUAAUUUCAUGCCCCAUCCCAUGUGUCCACAAGCACCUCAAUAUCCUGUCAUAAGAAACCUGUCAGCACAAUCACUGCCCCACUGACCUUUCCUCUGUCAAUCACUCCACAUUCAAACAAUUCACAUAAAUCCCUAUGACUGCAUGAACUGCACAUGCAGUAGGAAGCACUUUAUAUAUAUAUAUAAUCUCUUCUAUUAAUUAUUCUGCUAGUAUGAUCACAAACAUACAUGCACAAAGGUGCAGAAAGAUAUAGAUAAGUGUUUGUUAAACUUCUUUCCAAUGUACAGAGAAUUGAAAUACACAAACAAGGACACAAUUCAAACCUGAAAAACAAUAGUUUUAUUCAUAUAGGAAUCCGUGUAUUUAUUAGAUGAUUUAUUGGUUCAACUUUUCAUAAUCAGAGAUUGGGCCAAAAUAUACUGGUGGGCUAUUCGAACCAUUUGCACUACACGUUUUCAACAGCAGAGGUCAUCGUAGAGUUUGCGAUGCAUUGAAUGAAUGAACCUUUUUCCCAUACAAUUGGCUGGAAAGCUUCACUUUGCCAUCACUACUGUCACCGCCGAGUCGGAUUGUAAAUCAUAACAGGAAGUGACCGACCCGGAUAUUUAUGGUGUGACAGCUAGCGACCGAUUGGCAGUACAUUUCACAUUUUAUUAAUUACCAGUUGAACAAAACAAGUGUAAACAAUAAUAAAGAGCUACCAGGGUUUCGCCGUGUGACACACGCUUUUGCAUGUUUUCACACGCACUCACGCCACACAACCAGUUCCUCACGGCAAAAAAUGAAUUCUGAUUUUGGGCCGAAGCGCGUUUGUUCCUUUUCAAACUUCCCGACGAUAGGUGGCGCUAAGGAGCGCAUCUGUAACCCUAUUCGCUGCAUAGACAUGCUGUUGACCCCAAAGAGUCCCCAAGUUAUCAACAGAAGGAGAUUUUCAAACAGACACAACCACGGGAGAAACUCAGGAGGAGCAAAGACUAAGCUACGUUAAUGACGUGCGCUUCAAUGAAGCCAAAGAAAAAGACCCCUUUCCAAACAGCACUUUGAACCGUUCUUUAAGGGAGCAACGAUGUCUCGUAAAAGACCUUUGCCAGGCCCAGGACAAAAGGGAAGUCUGUUAUAUUAUUUAAAGAACAGACAGAGGAGCUACACACAGGACA